UAGUCCACGCCGUAAACGAUGCAUGCUAGACGUUGGAGGCUUAGCCUUCAGUGUCGUAGCUAACGCGAUAAGCAUGCCGCCUGGGAAGUACGGUCGCAAGAUUAAAACUCAAAGGAAUUGACGGGGACCCGCACAAGCGGUGGAGCAUGUGGUUUAAUUCGACGCUACGCGAAGAACCUUACCAACUUUUGACAUGGAGGUCGCGAAAUAAAGAGAUUUAUUUCUUCAGUUCGGCUGGACCUCACACAGGUGCUGCAUGGCUGUCGUCAGCUCGUGUCGUGAGAUGUUGGGUUAAGUCCCGCAACGAGCGCAACCCUCGCCUUUAGUUGCCAACAGGUAAUGCUGGGGACUCUAAAGGUACUGCCAGUGGUAAGCUGGAGGAAGGAGGGGAUGAAGUCAAGUCCUCAUGGCCCUUAUGGGUUGGGCUGCACACGUGCUACAAUGGCGGUGACAGAGGGAAGCGAAAGGGUGACCUGGAGCGAAUCCCUUAAAAGCCGUCUCAGUUCGGAUUG
rnacentral:rRNA from 1 species